rnacentral:lncRNA from 1 species
AUGACAUCUUAUGGCUAUGGCUAUUUUGCUUUCCAGAAAGACUAUAAAGAAAGAAAGGGAUCCCUGGGUGGCUCAGUGGUUUAUUUUUUUUUUAUUUUUUUUUUUAAUUUUUAUUUAUUUAUGAUAGUCACACAGAGAGAGAGAGAGAGGCAGAGACACAGGCAGAGGGAGAAGCAGGCUCCAUGCACCGGGAGCCUGACGUGGGAUUCGAUCCCAGGUCUCCAGGAUCGCGCCCUGGGCCAAAGGCAGGCGCCAAACUGCUGCGCCACCCAGGGAUCCCGGCUCAGUGGUUUAGCGCCUGCCUUUGGCCCAGGGCGCGAUCCUGGAGUCCUGGGAUCGAGUCCUGCGUCAGGCUCCUGGCAUGGAGCCUGCUUCUCCCUCCUCCUGUGUCUCUGCCUCUCUCUCUCUCUAUGUCUAUCAUAAAUAAUAAAUAAAUAUAAAAAAAUAAAUAAAGCACCUAGGAAUAAAUCUAUCAAAAAUUGUGCAUGCCCGUUGUAAAGCUUUAUUGAAAGACCUUGCAGAUGACCUAGUUAAACGGAGAUAUGUACUAUGACUAUGGUUACUAUAUUCAAUAUUGAAAAUAUGCUGACGUUCUUCAAAUUGAUCCACAGAUUCAAUAAAAUUCCGAUAGGAUUUUUUUGUGGAACUUGAUAAAUUGAUUCUAAAAUUAUAUGGAAAUUUAUAUGGAAGAGUAAAGGGCUAAUAAUAGCUCUUGCUCUUGAAGAAGAACCAAAUACAAAAAAAAAAUCAAUUCAAGACAAAUAGAGACUUAAAUAUGAAAGGAAUAAAACCGUAAAGCUUAGAAGCCAAUAUAUAUAUGAAAAUAUCUUUAUGACUUUAGGAUAGGGAAGAAUUUCUUAAGACACAAAAAAGCAGAAGGUGUAAAGAUAAAUACUGAUGAAUUCUACUACAUUAAAUAUAAGGACUUAUGUUUUCAAAAAAGACCAUUAAUCAGAUGUAAAUUCAAGCUCCAAAUUAGGAGAAGAUAUUUACCAAACAUAUCAUCAAAAACAAUUAGGACUUGGAAUAUAUGAAGAACUUCUAAAUAUUAUAAGAAAAAGACAAACAACUCAAUUGAAAAUUGGACAAAGGGCAUGAUUUAGGCAUUUCAUAGAUGAGGGAACACAAAUGAUUCAUAAAAACAAGAAAAGAUGCCUCAUUUUAAAUCAGGCUAAGACAAAUUAAAACCACAAUGAGAUACUAUUUCAUACCCACUAGACUGGCAAAAUUAUUAAGCCAAGUGAUGGUGAGGUUAGGGAACAGUGUGCUGUUGGUUGAUGUGCUACUUGGUAUGACCACCCUGCUUUACUUAAUAAAGUUCAACAAUAUGACCCAGUGAUUUCACUUCUAGAUAUAAACCUUAGAAAAAUAAUUUUUACAUGUGCACCAGCCAACAAGUAUAAGACUGCCCAUAGCAACACUGACCCUACAGGCAGGAAAAUUCAUAUAUCCACCCCCAAUACAAUGGAUAAACCAAUUGAAGUAUAUUCAUGCAGUGAAAUCACCAUUCACAUGAAUGAAUCCCAGCUGGAACUAUCAUCAAAGGUAAAUCUCGGGAUCCCUGGGUGGCGCAGUGGUUUAGUGCCUGUCUUUGGCCCAGGGUGCCAUCCUGGAGACCCGGGAUCGAAUCCCAUGAUUAUUUUUGUUGUUGUUUCUUCAAAAGUAGCUAGUCAAGAUUCAAGAUAGAAUUCAAAUGGGAGCGAGCCUGCCGUGCUUAAAAAUUAGUACAACAGUAAACUGUUUUUGAAAAACCACAUUUUCUUGAUCUCAGAUUUUUUUUACAUAAAUUAAUUUGGGGACAUAAAUUAAUUUGGGGGAGAAUAUGAAUAUUAUUUAGAAAUCCUCUUUUGUUUUAAGAUAGAUUUUAAGGUUCUUUAUAAAAAUGUUAACUUAGAAUCCUUAAUUUGUAAAAAUUAAAAAAAAAAAAAAAAAAAAAAAAAGGGAUCCCUGGGUGGCGCAGCGGUUUGGCGCCUGCCUUUGGCCCAGGGCGCGAUCCUGGAGACCCAGGAUCGAAUCCCAUGUCGGGCUCCCGGUGCAUGGAGCCUGCUUCUCCCUCUGCCUGUGUCUCUGCCUCUCUCUCUCUGUGUGUGACUAUCAUGAAUAAAUAAAUAAAAAUAAAAUCUUAAAAAAAAAAAAAGGUAAAUCUCAAGAACAUGAGGCUGCCACGUAUGACUGUGAUUGCAGGCUGUGGCAAUGGAUUCAGUAGGCACUGAGAUCUAUUCUAUGUUCCAUGUGCCAAGCUGUGCACACUGGCACAGGGAUGCCUGUCCCUGAAGGGAGGGGUGCUUUUUAAAUUUUUAAAAACUGCACAAAGACCCUCUAUAGGUUAGCUCUGGUCCUACAAAAUCAUAAUGUUGAAUAGAAAGAUCACAGAAGUACAUAUAUUCUGUAUUACUGUAUUUCUAGGAAGUGUGAAACCAGGUAAAGGGCAGCCCGGGUGGCUCAGCGGUUUAGCACCGCCUUCAGCCCAGGGCCUGAUCCUGGAGACCCCGGAUCGAGUCCCACUUCGGGCUCCCUACAUGGAGCCUGCUUCUCCCUCUGCCUGUGUCUCUGCCGCUCUCUCUGUGUGUCUCUCAUUAAUAAAUAAAGAAAAUGUUUUUUUUUUAAAGAAGAAACCAGGUAAAACUAAACAAUAAUGACUCAUAUAUAUUUCGUAAAACUAUAUAGAAAAACAAGAGAAUGAUUAACACAAAAUUCAGUAGAGUGAUUAUUUCUUGGGAAAGGGGAAGUGUCCAGUUAGGAAGGGCUCACGAUGGGUUGGGCAGCUCUAAGGUACUGAUAAUAUUCUAUUUCUUUGGCUGAGUAGUGGGUACUCAAAUACUAUGUUGUCGGGAUCCCUGGGUGGCGCAGCGGUUUAGCACCUGCCUUUAGCCCAGGGCUCAAUCCUGGAGACCCGGGAUUGAAUCCCAUGUCAGGCUCCCGGUGCAUGGGGCCUGCUUCUCCCUCUGCCUAUGUCUCUGCCUCUCUCUCUCUCUCUCUGUGUGCCUAUCAUAAAUAAAUAAAAAUUAAAAAAAAAUACUAUGUUGUCAUGCUUCAUCCUUUAUAUGCCUGUUUAAAAAAAAACAAACUCCUCCUUAUAUAUUCCACAUAAUGAUUUUAAAUCAAAGGGACUCCACUCAAGGCUACUGACUGAAGACAAGGGCUUCCAACAUAAGGUUUGGACAGGGUAGAUUGCCAAGAGGCCCAGAGCUGAGGGUCUGAGGCCUAAGGGGUCACAGAAGAGACACUGACUGCCUCAUGUGCGAUGAGGUGGGAGGACCUCAAUGGGAUAAGCCAAAGGUGCUUCAUGAAAAAGCAAAUUAAAGUUACAGUAAGAUACCACUAUUAGAAUGAAAACAUAUGUUCAUUUAAAAACUUGUACCCAAAAGCUCUUAGUAGUAUUAUUUGUAAUAAUAAAAAAAUGGAAACAAUGCCAAUGUCCAUUAACUGAUGAAUGGGUAAAUAAAAUAUAUCUCCAAAUGGAAUAUUAGUCAGCAAUAAAGGCAACAGAGUAUCGAUAAAUGCUAUAGCAUAGAUGAACUUUGAAAACUUGCUCAGUGAAAGAGGGCAGUCACAAAAGACCACAUAUUGUGUUAUUUCAUUUCUAUGAAGUGUCUAGAAAAGGCAGAUUUGUAAACAGAAAGAUUAGUGGUUUCCAGGGGCUGGAGGGAGUGUUUGUGUGGGAAUGAAGAGUGACUGCUAAUGGGUAUAAGGUUUCUUUUCAGGACGAUGAAAAUGUUCUAAAAUUGAUUGUGGUAAUGGAUAUACAGCUCUGUGAAUAUACUACGAGCCAGGGAGUUGUACACCUUAAGUGGAUGAAUUAUAUGGCCAUGUAAAUUAUAUCUCAAUUAAAGUAUAACCAAAAAAAAAAAAAAGAAAGCCUAAAAGUCUUUAAAAAUUUUUUUAAAUACCA